UGGGGAAUAUUGGACAAUGGGCGCAAGCCUGAUCCAGCAAUGCCGCGUGAGUGAUGAAGGCCUUAGGGUUGUAAAGCUCUUUCGCACGCGACGAUGAUGACGGUAGCGUGAGAAGAAGCCCCGGCUAACUUCGUGCCAGCAGCCGCGGUAAUACGAAGGGGGCUAGCGUUGUUCGGAAUUACUGGGCGUAAAGGGCGCGUAGGCGGCCUGUUUAGUCAGAAGUGAAGGCCCCGGGCUCAACCUGGGAAUAGCUUUUGAUACUGGCAGGCUUGAGUUCCGGAGAGGAUGGUGGAAUUCCCAGUGUAGAGGUNAAAUUCGUAGAUAUUGGGAAGAACACCGGUGGCGAAGGCGGCCAUCUGGACGGACACUGACGCUGAGGCGCGAAAGCGUGGGGAGCAAACAGGAUUAGAUACCCCGGUAGUCCACGCCGUAAACGAUGAAUGCUAGACGUCGGGGUGCAUGCACUUCGGUGUCGCCGCUAACGCAUUAAGCAUUCCGCCUGGGGAGUACGGCCGCAAGGUU
rnacentral:rRNA from 1 species